GUCUACGGCCAUGCCACCCUGAACGAGCCCGACGUCUGAUCUCAGAAGCUAAGCAGGGUCGGGCCUGGUUAGUACUUGGAUGGGAGACCACUUAGGAACACCAGGUGCUGUAGGCA
rnacentral:rRNA from 1 species